UCUCCGUUGGUGAACCAGCGGAGGGAUCAUUAUAGAGUUAUCACAACUCCAAACCCAUGUGAACUUACCACUGUUGCCUCGGCGGGUUCCAGGGCCUCUCUCGGGAGCUCUGGGCUCAAGCCCGCCGGUGGUUUUUACAAACUCUUUGUAUUAAUUUGCAAUCUGAGCGUACUUUUAAAUAAGUCAAAACUUUCAACAACGGAUCUCUUGGUUCUGGCAUCGAUGAAGAACGCAGC
rnacentral:misc_RNA from 1 species